rnacentral:rRNA from 1 species
UUGACGGGGCCGCACAAGCGGUGGAGCAUGUGGUUUAAUCGAAGCAACGCGAAGAACCUUACCAGGUCUUGACAUCCCUGACAACCCGAGAGAUCGGGCGUUCCCCUUCGGGGGGACAGGGUGACAGGUGGUGCAUGGUUGUCGUCAGCUCGUGUCGUGAGAUGUUGGGUUAAGUCCCGCAACGAGCGCAACCCUCGACCUUAGUUGCCAGCAUUCAGUUGGGCACUCUAAGGUGACUGCCGGCUAAAAGUCGGAGGAAGGUGGGGAUGACGUCAAAUCAUCAUGCCCCUUAUGACCUGGGCUACACACGUGCUACAAUGGACGGUACAAAGGGUCGCGAACCCGCGAGGGGGAGCCAAUCCCAAAAAGCCGCUCUCAGUUCGGAUUGCAGGCUGCAACUCGCCUGCAUGAAGCCGGAAUCGCUAGUAAUCGCGGAUCAGCAUGCCGCGGUGAAUACGUUCCCGGGCCUU